GGGGCCGAACAGGGUAUCGACGUGACGUAUAGAGAUAGAAACGCAAUGCGUAGGAAGCGACUACGUAUCAACGCUAACUUAAACAUAGAUGCAAAAAAUUCUAUGAUUGACUAUGCUAACGAACAACUUAAGGGCGUUAGCAUAUCACAUACUAAAGCGCUCGCUGCUUAAUAGCAAGCCAGUGGCUGCCAACUAGCUAGAAACAGAAACGUUGGAACUCACUAGUGAGGUAAUUCUGGCAUCCAUAUAGUGAGUUCAGAGGAAAGUCAGAUCUGAUAGUAAGGUUAUUGUUGAACCACCUGUUAUCAGAUAGUAAGGUUCAACAAAUCAUUGUGUAUCGGGUCUAUUUUUGACGUUGGCGGACGGCGGUUCGAUUCCGCCCGGCUCCACAC
rnacentral:tmRNA from 1 species